rfam:Oryza glumipatula chromosome 3, whole genome shotgun sequence.
AAUAAACGUAGUCAUGAGUUUCCGCGUCCAAUUUUGGUCGUCCGUCUUAUUUAAAAAAAUUUUAUAAUUAGCAUUUUUGUUGCUAUGAGAUGAUAAAACAUUAAUAGUACUUUACUCGUGACUUAUGUUUUUAAUUUUUUUUAAAAAAAAUUUAAAUAAGACGAACGGUCAAAGUUCGGCGCGAAAAACCAUGGCUGCACUUAUU